AGUAGCCCGCCUCGCCUGGUGAGCAGGGAGGCUAGUUAUACUAGUUACACUAUCUAGUAGAAGAGUUAUACUAGUAUAGUUACACUGUCUAGAAGGAUAGUUAUACCAUCUAGCAGGCUAUUACACUAUCUAGUAGUAUAGUUAUAGUAGUAUAGUUAUACUAUCUAGUAGUCUAGUUAUAGUAGUAUUGUUAUAGUAGUAUAGUUAUACUAUCUAGAAAUAUAGUUAUAGUGGUAUAGUUAUACUAGUAUAUAGUAUUGUUAUACCAUCUAGUAGUCUAGUUAUAGUAGUAUUGUUAUACCAUCUAGUAGUCUAGUUAUAGUAGUAUUGUUAUACCAUCUAGUAG